AGUUGCGAGGAGCGAUGACGGCGACGGCGACGGGAGAAUCGAAACGGCUAAACGGCGGAGGCGAACUUCUAGAGCUUCGCAUCUAAUCAAGGAGUCGCUGGCGGAGGAGGAUUUCAGAGACGGAGAGUGGUGCAGUAGCUGGUAAUGGACGGAGAGAGAGUGAAGGGUGAGACCAUGAGGGAGGGACUGAGAGGGAGAUUUCAGAAAUUGGGGCUGAGAUGGUAUCGACUCGAAUCCUCGAUACUAUCGAGAGAGAGGGAGGCUGAGGUGAGUGAGGUCGGGUUACUCGACUGCAAGAGACUUAGCAUUUUAGGGUUGUUAACUUGUUAUUAUUAUUUUUUUUAAUAUUUAACAUAUUAUUAUAUCACCCAAUCAAGGACUGACAUGUGGUAACUGAUACAUGAAAUCGGGUUGGUUCGGGCUUUCGGUCCCUGAAAAUGUGAAGCCCGAGACCGAACCGAAAAUUCCUAUAUUAAAACCGAACCGAAUCGGGCUUUUUUCCUCAGUUCGGGUCGGGUCCUCAGUCUUUCGGGUCCGGACGCCCACCCCUAGUUCAGACCCAUGAAGAGGUGUUUUGGUCAAACAAAGAUAAAAGACUCCAUUUGACUCUACCCUGCUCUUCCGGUAUGCUCUCGGUAUGCUCUGUAUUUUCUUUUUAGCGCCUAUCUAUAUACCCUGUUCUGUGCGUAUUGCAUCUUCUCUCUGCUUCUGGUUUUCUCUGCUACAAACUUGCACUUUUGUCUGGUGCACCCCUCUCUCUUUCUCUAAGGAAAUAUUUCCUCUGUUUCACUUUCUUCCCAUGUUCGUAUCUUAAAUGGUGUUGUUUUUGGUGUAGCAGAGAUCACUUUCUGAUGCAUUUUGGUUCUUAUGAGUAGCUUUGUUAAGAUUUGCAGUUGAUCUCAUUUGGCUUUGUCAAGCUAUGAGUGAAAUAGUUUUGGCAUUCAGUCAGUGGGUGAUCAUUGCUCUUAAGAAGGGACCUGUUCAAAUCUCAGUUUCAGUGGGUGGAAGGAAAGGAGGUUGUGUAUAUGGAUGGAAAAUGUGAUGCAAAGUAACGCCAAUCCUCAAUGAGUUAUAUCAAUGAUCCAUCCACCAAAGCAAAGGUAAUACAACAAAAUAUUGUAAUGAAGGAAUAAGUUUAGUUGGAGCUUCAAGGGUUGUACUGCUUGACGUUGUAUGGAACCAUGUGGAGAGGCAAGCUAUAUCCCGAGCAUACUAAUUGGGACAAAUAAAUUGUGUUCAUCUACCAUCUCCUCAUGGCUGGGGCAAGUGAAGAGGACAAAUACAGCCAGAAAGUUGAGAAGCAUUGGUUGUCUGAAUUGGUAUUUUCUUGUUCGGAUACAGAAGCUGAUGCCAAUAAAAUCCUUCAAAGACCUUACCGAACUAGUCAUUAGCAUUUUCACUUAAGCUGACAUUGUGAGGAGUAUUAGAGUUCAGUUUGUCACAUCAGAGUAUUAAACAAAACUUUAAUCGAAAAUAGUUUUAUUAAUGCAAUCUGUUUUGAAUUUGAAUUCAAAUAGGUAUGGUUAUUUAGAGAAAUCCAUCAGACAAAGAUAAGGAAGUUAUGAGACAGUUCCAUAAUGGAGGAAACUACCUUAACUGCUUUUCUGAUAUAAUGGGAUUACAAUGUCUUCAUUGAUCCCUGCUAGAGCACCAGACCUCAAUCAAAUUGUCCCAUUAACAAUCUGAGAUCAAAGGUGAAUCUAGGAGAAGAACAAUGGAAGGAGGCAGUGGAUCUAAUUUUUGUUCAUGCAAAUGUGUAGAUAUUAGGACAGAUAUGCUUCCGCAAUCUUAAUAUACUCUACGAUUACUGCUGCACUCCUACAAUGCAAAUUACGGUAUAUGUGUUUACAUGUACUUAUUCUGAGAUAGUAUAGCUAGUACUCAUUUUGUGUAAAUUCUUACAAUCCCAGCUGCAGUCACAGAGGACAAGAUUUUGGAAAAGAUGGUUCAGUAUGAGAAACUCAAGCAUAUAUUCCAAAAGAUAACACCACUAGAUGAAGCUUCAUAUUUGGACGAAGAAUUUGAAUGAAGAUUCUAAAGCUUCUGGAGCUGUUAUCUCAUAGAAGAGGUAUUUUGAGGAUGGGAAGAAUUAUGCGGUUCAAAGAAGCAAGGCAUUGGGAGGAUCAUCAACUUUCUAUCUUCCAGUUUCUUACUCGUGUUAUUUCUUUGUUCUUUAAGCAGUGUUGAAGAUCACAGCAUCUAGAUAGAUCACACUCUUAGCCGUUUAUAUCAUGCUUGACUCGGCUUAACGGUACUCGUCCCUAUGUUCUAGUGUAUCUAUCAUUUAGGUUUAAUGGAAAUAUUUAGAUCAAAUUCUCGGAAUUAGAAGAUAAAUUUGACAAUAUUUUGGGAACUGUGGAUGUCAUUCCAAUAGCUCAAAUAUGUAUGUUGAUUUUUUUUUUUUUUUUGUCUCACAUUAAUACCAAGGAAACACUUACCGACCCACACAUGAACACACGAACUAUCACGUGUAAGAAUGAGUUUUAUCAAAUCUUGAUUUGACUCGCAUCGGUAUGACACCCGUCCUGUCCUCAAGUUGAUAAUUAAUAAAACUACAAAUACAAUGAUAUUUCGGGACCGACACUUAUUGUAAUUGUAGUCUGGGGUUAAUCUAACCCUAAAACUUUUUUUUUUUUUUUUUUUUUGGUCAAAGAUAUUCAUUGAAAAGAGGGCAAACAGCCCAGCCAUACAACAACAGAAAGCCAAAAGGCUAAACUGAAGAGAAACAGAGCUCUCAUAGUCAAAGCCACAUGAGGCAAGACAAGACGAACAACGAACAGACGCAACAAACAAAACAAGUCUAAAGAAAAGCAAGACAUGAAGGAAAGCAAGAUUGAUACCUAAAACUGAAGUUGAUAAAAUAGAAUUCUGAAAGUCAUAGUUGGUUGAUCUAAAGCUCAAGUUGACUAAGGAGCUUAAUCUAAACACUGUUUAGUCCCUCCCACCCAUA